AUAAAUUCAUGCAGUGAGACGUACGACUUAACACUUCGGCGCCCAAAACAUUGCAAAUAAUGAGAAUUAACUGCAAUGAGAUAUUUAACUUCGUAUUUUAAAUUCAAACUCUCUAUUAAAAAUACUAAUUUAGAAGAACUUAGGUUCAUUGACUCUCGGUUAGUUCGGCAUUACAAAAGUGUACAGCAGACAGAUUUCACUUAUAAAAGACUUAAUAUGCUACCAGGUAAGUACAGUUUCGUUCUCACAAUUUGUGUAUACGUACGUUUUAUAAACAUGUAUGGAUUUUCGCGCAAACGAUAUAGUAUGAUUUGUGUAAGUAUCUAAGUAUAUACAUAUUUUUUUCCUAGUCAUUUUACAAAUUGUUCAGUUUUAAAUAUAUUUUUAUGAGACUUAUAGAUGUAUUUUUUUUUUUGUUUUAGUUUGAGGACUGAUAAUAUACUUGGGCUAUCAAGCGAGCGAAACGAGAAGCGUUACCUGCUCCGAUUCCACCUAGGGCUGAGUACUGUCGUUACUGGAAAGUAUGUUUUCAGGAUUGGCAACUCUCUCGCUCUUGGAGGUAUUGCAACUGUCUCAUCAAUGGUCAGAAUUUGGAGGGUUGCUAUAGCCCGGAUAAGGACACCUGGAGGUUUAGUGGCCUUGUUUUUCUAUGAACUGAAAGUUUACUGCAAUGAUUUUAAUCGUGUUAACAUCGACGUUUUUAGUCAACAUUAUCAUGUAAUUGUCGAGCUUCUCAUACCACAUAGGUAUGAUUGUAAUUGUAUAAAUAAUAUUUUAAUCUUAAAUUUAAUUUUAUUUUA